UGCUACCUUGUUACGACUUCACCCCAGUCAUGAAUCACUCCGUGGUGACCGUCCUCCCGAAGGUUAGACUAGCCACUUCUGGAGCAACCCACUCCCAUGGUGUGACGGGCGGUGUGUACAAGGCCCGGGAACGUAUUCACCGCGGCAUUCUGAUCCGCGAUUACUAGCGAUUCCGACUUCGUGGAGUCGAGUUGCAGACUCCAAUCCGGACUACGAUAUGCUUUAAGGGCUCCGCUUACUCUCGCAAGUUCGCUUCCCUCUGUACAUACCAUUGUAGCACGUGUGUAGCCCAUCCCGUAAGGGCCAUGAUGACUUGACGUCGUCCCCACCUUCCUCCGGUUUAUCACCGGCAGUCUCCUUAGAGUUCCCGACCGAAUCGCUGGCAAAUAAGGAUAAGGGUUGCGCUCGUUGCGGGACUUAACCCAACAUUUCACAACACGAGCUGACGACAGCCAUGCAGCACCUGUCUCACAGUUCCCGAAGGCACAGUCCUAUCUCU
rnacentral:rRNA from 1 species